ACGUAGGAACCGAGCGUUAUCCGAAUUUACUGGGCGUAAAGCGCGUGUAGGCGGUUCGGUAAGUUGGAUGUGAAAGCUCCCGGCUCAACUGGGAGAGGACGUUCAAUACUGUCGGACUAGAGGGCGGCAGAGGGAGGUGGAAUUCCCGGUGUAGUGGUGAAAUGCGUAGAUAUCGGGAGGAACACCAGAGGCGAAGGCGGCCUCCUGGGCCGCUCCUGACGCUCAGACGCGAAAGCUAGGGGAGCAAACGGG
rnacentral:rRNA from 1 species